AGCAAAUGAAUAUCUGUCCUGG
rnacentral:miRNA from 1 species